rnacentral:rRNA from 1 species
AUUGAACGCUGGCGGCAGGCCUAACACAUGCAAGUCGAGCGGAUGAAGGGAGCUUGCUCCUGGAUUCAGCGGCGGACGGGUGAGUAAUGCCUAGGAAUCUGCCUGGUAGUGGGGGAUAACGUCCGGAAACGGGCGCUAAUACCGCAUACGUCCUGAGGGAGAAAGUGGGGGAUCUUCGGACCUCACGCUAUCAGAUGAGCCUAGGUCGGAUUAGCUAGUUGGUGGGGUAAAGGCCUACCAAGGCGACGAUCCGUAACUGGUCUGAGAGGAGGAGCAGUCACACUGGAACUGAGACACGGUCCAGACUCCUACGGGAGGCAGCAGUGGGGAAUAUUGGACAAUGGGCGAAAGCCUGAUCCAGCCAUGCCGCGUGUGUGAAGAAGGUCUUCGGAUUGUAAAGCACUUUAAGUUGGGAGGAAGGGCAGUAAGUUAAUACCUUGCUGUUUUGACGUUACCAACAGAAUAAGCACCGGCUAACUUCGUG